UACGUAGGUGGCAAGCGUUGUCCGGAUUUACUGGGCGUAAAGAGCGCGCAGGCGGUCGUUCAAGUCGCGUGUGAAAGCCCCCGGCUCAACUGGGGAGGGUCACGCGAUACUGAUCGACUCGAAGGCAGGAGAGGGAAGUGGAAUUCCCGGUGUAGUGGUGAAAUGCGCAGAUAGUCAGGAAGAACACCCGUGGCUAAGGCGGCUCUCUAGUACGGUACUGACGCUGAGACGCGAAAGCGUGGGGAGCGAACAGG
rnacentral:rRNA from 1 species